GCGAAAUCUCUAUUGAGGCAAGCGGGAAACGGUUCCAGGAAAAAUCACUUCAUUUACAAUAAAGAAUGAAGAAAUAUGUAUAAAAGAGACCGAUGCGAUAGAGUUACUGCGAACAAGUUCCCUAAGAAGGACCGCAAACAUCGAGUGGCCAUUGAAACAAAGAGAGCUACCGUACAGAGGCUCGGUUAUCAGCAGAAAACAUUUUUCCUGGGUGUCGGGAACGAUAACGUGGCCAGGCCACGUUCAGCACGAGUGAGAACAGUCGUGAGCGACUACAGGCAGCAGGAAUCGUACACAGCUGCUGCCGGCCUGAUUGUUCCUCCCGGUAGAACCGGCGAUCGGUGUCACUGUGUCGAGCUGUGCUACCGGUGACGUCACUGCUCAACACCGUCAACAGCCAUCCCCUCUACGAUCCUCGUAACGCUAUUCACGACACUUGCUUACUUACGACACUGAAUAAGGAACGAACGCCAGAGAUUAGCAGCUGGCAGAUAAUGUUGCAGCGUGUAUGCGAAAACCGGCUUUUUCUCGGUCGGACAACGAGCCACGCGGUUUCGUUGUCCCUAAGUGAAGUUCAGCUCCAGUAAAAAGACGUAGAUCACCGUAAACGAGAUCGAACAAUGAGUCAGUUGGCUAAGAGUACAACUACGACCAGUUUAAUGCUAAUGGGUUUUGAUCAACUGUCUUGGAUAAAGUACAGCUGAAAACUCCUUAACGCUCUUGUCAGCGGUUCUUCCUACUCUUCAUGCGUCAUUGUGCACGCAUAACGUCACGGCCGCCCGUGGAAAUUGACGCCACAGCUUUUGUUCGGAUUUUACGAGCUUGGAAACGAAGGACUGCACUGCGAUACCGACCUUAAAUUUAUCAACUGUGUCACGAUCAUCGUGUAAAUUCGUAAAGCUGAACAGAGAACCACAUCCAAUGACAUGCUCGAGAAGAAAACGUUCUUUCUGCUUCACGGUCUCGGAUACGAAAGCUGAGACAAGAGACACGAACGGUUUCGGGGAACGAACUUUCUUUUUGGCCUAAUUGGAGAAAUUAAUCUUUUUUUAAAGUGGAACACUUUAUAAUAAAUAUUUUCCUUUCUAAGUAGAUCACUAUGCGAGUUCCAUUAUUGAAGUAUUACUUAUUUUGGGAUAAUAGGAGAAAUUAAAUGUUUUCGGAAUAGUUGCGAUAUGAAUAUAUGUAUAAGUUACACAACGUAUACGUUGUGAAUAAACAAUAUCUAUUUCCGUAAAUUGCAAACAAUUUUCAGUAUACUCUGAAUCUGUAAAGACUUCAAGACCAAACAAAACUGCACGACAUUUCUACAAAUUCGGAAUAAAAUACUCAAUGUAACACCUGCAUUUCGAUGAUUAUAGUUUGUGCUGGCUUCGGUAUUUCCGUCUUUCUUCUCUUUUAGUGUUCCCCGCUGAAGGAAGGCAUGUACCAAAAAGCAGGUCACGCAACGGCGAUAACGGUAAUCCGUGCAGUCGUGGUGUAACGGCGUUCACGUGGAAAAGCAAACGAAGAAAAGUGUUUUGCUCGCUUAGCCGUAGAAUCGCGGCAAGACACGAUUUAUAAUGACUGCGAACAGAGUAAUGACCGCCUGGGUUUACCUUCGAGUCAUCGUAGCUAUUGCGACGACGGCAAUUCGGAAAUCCCGAGCUAAAUUGUCUCUUCUAACCAUAGUAGAAUCGUAUUAAAUUAAUCGUCAGAUGAAGAGUUCACGGUGAAUUACGAACUUCAAUACGUGGAAACUAUUUUCCUCGUAUAAUAGAUGCUUAACAGGUGCUUUAAAGAGAUAUAAAUAAUUAAACCUCCAAAAUUGAAAUUGUGUUUGCUUCUAAACCAAAAUAUUAAAGAUAUAUUGAUAUAUGGAAAUGUAACUUCCAAUAUAACGUGGCAUUAUAUAUAGAUGCUUAAUCCAAAUUCUAGUUUUGCUUCGUGUAUUUAAUCCUAGUUUUUUAAGUUGUAUAGUUUCGCUUAAUCUUAAAAUGAAAGUAUGUUAUUAAUACUUGCAUGUUAUUAAUACUUAAUGUUAUUAAUAAUGCAACUAAUAUCUUACUGUUGAAGGAAAUCAGAGUUACGAAACUUUGAUUUUUGCAAUAUCCAAAAUCUCUGACCUAAACAAAUACAAAUCUUAAGUUAAGUUUUGCGAUCGCAUCAGAUAAGCCCUAUUAAAAAUGUAAGAAAACCGAUAUAUAAUUACGAUCCACUCAACUACCUAAAGCCAGGCUCUAUCCCUCUUCACCUCGGAUAAAAAAUAUCAAACAAAGAAAGUUUAUCGUUGAACCAGAGCUUACUCAUUCAUCGACUAUGCCGUUAUAUAUGUCAUUGUAUAUCGAAACGACCACACAAACCUAAACUCACAGACAUCCACGUAUAUAUGCAUGUACAAAACCUAUUCGCAUGCCUACGUACAUAUAUGCAUAAGAGAGUACUCGAUCCAGUUCGUGGCGCGUUAUCGAAAGGCGAGAGUGUCAACGUUCACCCGCGCGAAAGUGAAAAUCUGGGGCUGCCGGUCGUAGCACAAGCGAGAGAUACUACUACGUUUGUCGACUGUGUCGAGGCGGGCGGGAAAAGGCCGGCCCGCGGCGGUAUCUAGGCUGCGACCCGGUUCGCGAUAUCAUUUAGGUCAUUGUGUUCAACCGGGUCCAGCAAAACCGGGUAAACGCUGCCCAAUGGCGGCGCACGACGCGCCACACUGAUCCUGCUCUCUGGCGCACACCUUUUCGACGCAUGUGCGCGUAGUACGGUGUGAAGAAACGCGACUACUAUAUCGCUCUCUGCUCGCCGGCCGGGCUUCUCUUUAUACACGGCGUGCGCGCGCUCGUUAUAUCACAGGCGACGUUGCGUAAAAUGUACGCUGGCACACGCUCGUCUCUUCUGUUACACGGAGAGUAUGUGGCCGCCUUUCGCCCCUCUCCUGGCCCCCUUUUAAACCUAUCCCCCCGUUCCGCCGUGCGUUCUGCCCUCCUACGACUCCACCGCUACCUCCUUGUUCCGUCUCUUUACACGCGCCUUAACCAGCACCGCGUGAACGCGAACACGUUCCGAGCUUCUUGUUCUACGUAGCGAAAGUUUGUUUUCAUUUUUAGUCUCCCUCCACCAAAACCGGUGGCCGACCGGCCCGCCAUCGCCACCUGACUUUUCAUCUGGCGUGCGCGCACAUUAAUACGCAGAAUCAUAGCGAACCUUGUUUCUCACUUGGAAAUCGAUAAAAUAGUUCAAUCAAGAAAUCUUUCCCAAUUGAGGGAAAACGAUAUCCAAUGGUAGAUCGCAUCGUCCCACGUGUUUCGAAACCUCUAUAGAUACCCACACGCGAACGCCUUAUUUUACAACAGAAGGAUGUAAUCAGAAUGAUUUCUUCAGCUGUCUCGUUAAAUCAUCUAAGUCCCCAUAUUCAAUAAGGUAUUUGGUAGUGUAUGAAAUGGAAUCGGUGAUACGAAAGACCACUUAUCUCCUGCCACAUAGAUGGAAGCGCGGUAUACUGGAAAGUCAUAAACUAGCAAAAAAUAAGAACGGCAUAACGAGCACGUUCAAUCGACGCCUUUAUGCGGGAGAACUCUUCCUCCCGUUUUCCUAAUACACCAUCGCAUUCGUGAGAGCCGACGGGAUGUAUGUAUUGCAAGCGCGUUUGCCACAGGGACGAACAGAACACGAUACCUUUCCUGUGAAUCUCGCGCGCGUGGAACGCAGCACGCGUUCGUGUGCACGAUCGGUACCUUCUCGACCUACUUCUCUGAGAAAGGCCCGACCUCGCUUUUCUCUCUGUACAGCAGAUACGCGCCACUUUUCCUCGCGUCCUCGUGCGUCCUAUGCAGUAUGGCACGCGCAUCAACUUUUCGUGCCCUGGCCAUUUGCUCGCCAGGGCCAGCACUAUCGAACCAUGCAAUUUCACACUUCUCGAUGAUGACGAAAAUGCGCUAUACAAAUUCAGAUGAUAUUAUAUUCUACUAUUUGAAUUUGUUCUUUAAGAAUCAAAUUAGAAUUCAAAUUAGAAUCAGGAUAAUUUAAUGUUUAUUCGAUUCGUACAUAGAUGUCUAUUGCUUGAUUUAAAAUAACGGAUUAAAAGGAUUAGAUAAUAAAGGUAAAUACUACUUUGCGACGAUCUACAUUGUGUUAUACCACGCAUAGUGCUCUUCUUACACGGUACUAUUGACAGAAACUGUUAGAAAGUCUCAGAGGACUUGGAUGAUGCAUAUUCAACCAUAUAUUAGCUCGGCGUGUGCAAGGUUGCAUUAUCGAUCAUAAUUUACGACGCGUGCUGCAUUGUUACGUCAGUGCAGCUCGUUUACGGCCAAUAUUAUCAGGUGGAAGCGAAGACGCAUAAACUUACACGCGUUAUGCCUACGAUCAGCUGAUUUCGCACUUCGUGUCAAUUUCGUAACAAGCAAACAAUCGUUCCAAAUAUCUAAAGAGAAAAAAUUCCAGGUGCAUCUAAGACGUCAACUUUUACCACAACAAUUAAAAUGUUAUCCAUCCAAAUAACUCCGGGUGUCGGAUUCGAAAAUCAAGGACGGCAGUUUGGCACGGAUUUCAAGCGGCAUGCUGAUUUACUUUCACGCGGACAAUGAAAUUUCGUUCACGGCCAAUACGUUGUUUAAAUAACAGUAGAGAGUGUCGGCGCAUAACAAGGAGAGUGGGCAAAGUAGCAACGAUUACUCUGAUGGUAUUGAAGAACCAUGAUUCCGGGUAAUCAUACCGGCACGCGCGUUCUAUUUUGCAAUUCCAUACCGUCACGUCGGCGUGUGCAACUUAUUAAAAGUCGACACGUCUCGCGCGUACUACGCGCCCAUUUCGAGGGGAACCUUGCGAGCGAUCGUACGCGAUGCAUAAGUAUUGCACCGGGUGGCAUAGAGUUGUUCUAAUAUCCAAGGUAAUUGUACUCAGACGUGCUAAUGAUUGCGACACAGUCGCAAUCGCCGUAAACCAAAUCAGAAGGAGCGUAAGAGGGAGAGGGAAAGCAGGUAGAAAGAGAUUUGUGUAGUACGCGCCGGACAGAGAGAAGGCGUUGCAUUGUAAACUCUAUGACCGACUUUACAAGCGAUCGGCUAGGAUACAGUGCCUCCAACGGUCGAUCGGCGCAACUAACCGCCAUGUUGUUUCCAAACCCGAAAUCAAGUUCGCACCACUCUUUACAAAGAGAAAGUUUCCAACUGCCGAAUAGGUCCUAUGGACAGCUACAGCGACGGAGACCGGCCGGCCGGCCUAUGACUAUAAGUUAAUACUUAUGUAGAGUGGCCAUCCGUGAUCCAUCUUGCGUAACCUAUUUACCGGCAAAGUGGUACAAGCACGUAUGACAUAAUCCCGUGCAACAGAGCACGCACUGUGCACUUUACAUUCCGGUCUGUUCGAAUACUAUUUUAAAUAGCCCAUACUGCGAUUGUGCGCCUGCGCGGCAGCUCAAGCCGGCACGCUGCGUCGCACCAGUGCGCAACGUUUAGCAAAUUAAAAAUACACGAAGAAAAUCAGCCCGUGAAACAAGAAGAUACAAUUUUACCAUUAUUAUAUAUCCCAUGGAACCUUUCUUUUACGCCCCACUUGUUUAUUUUAAACAUACUUUUGUUUCCAACAUACUUUUAAAACUAUACAACAAGAUCUUUGAGAAUCUUGAAGAACUUAACUUCAUAUUCUGAUACCGAUUAUGUGGAACUUAACUUUAUUCUUAAAUCUAACGAUUAUAGUUUUUCAGUCUAAAUAGUGUUUGACACUUAAUUCCAUUUACUUCACACUCGGUAAGCUAUUUUUAUAAACUAUUUAAAAAAACGUACAAUUUAUGUUUGAAACCAGCUUUAUGUAUGUAGAUCUUAAUCGAACCUGCAGAACCUCUCUCGACUAAACUGUAAACAACCAGGAUAUUCGAAACGUGGCUGAUAAAAAUACUAUAUACUCAAUCACACUCCCUUUACGAUCAGUUUCCCUCGGUCGAGUUCGUAACCUCGAAUCGAACGAGUACGCGACGAAAAGAGGCGAGGUUAGAGAGAUCGAGAGAGAUUGACCACCUGCUGCUGAGUGUGGCCCAAGCAACUAGAGCAAUGAAUUAUAACCUCGGAUCUCAUCGAGCUGUUGGCAGCUGUUGGACGGACGUUUCUUCUGUAUGGCAGAAAAAUUAAAGCGUUCUGGAUUCCCCGGCUCACACAGCGAUUGAUAAACGAAUAUAAGAGAAGAAAAGCAAGAAUUUAUCGAAACUAACAUACGUAUUUCCAAAAACGUCAGUGGCUACAAGAUAGCACGAACGAUCGCAAGGAAUGAAGGAAACACCCGCGUGACUAUGUCAGACUGCUAGACAAGCCUGUACGCAUACCGACAUUUGUUUACAUCGCGAACGGUUGUUGCGGAUGCGCCUCUAUGUAUGUAUGUAUAUAGAGUCGGGCCAGUUAGGUUUGGUAAGCCUGUGCCGGGAUAU